GAUGAACGCUGGCGGCGUGCCUAAUACAUGCAAGUCGAGCGAACGGACGAGAAGCUUGCUUCUCUGAUGUUAGCGGCGGACGGGUGAGUAACACGUGGAUAACCUACCUAUAAGACUGGGAUAACUUCGGGAAACCGGAGCUAAUACCGGAUAAUAUUUUGAACCGCAUGGUUCAAAAGUGAAAGACGGUCUUGCUGUCACUUAUAGAUGGAUCCGCGCUGGAUUAGCUAGUUGGUAAGGUAACGGCUUACCUAGGCAACGAUGCAUAGCCGACCUGAGAGGGUGAUCGGCCACACUGGAACUGAGACACGGUCCAGACUCCUACGGGAGGCAGCAGUAGGGAAUCUUCCGCAAUGGGCGAAAGCCUGACGGAGCAACGCCGCGUGAGUGAUGAAGGUCUUCGGAUCGUAAAACUCUGUUAUUAGGGAAGAACAUAUGUGUAAGUAACUGUGCACAUCUUGACGGUACCUAAUCAGAAAGCCACGGCUAACUACGUG
rnacentral:rRNA from 1 species